rnacentral:RNase_P_RNA from 1 species
CAGGAAAGCCGAACGACCGCGUUGGGAAACCGAUGAGGAAAGUCCGGGCACCACAGAGCAGGGUAACGGAUAACAUCCGCCGAGGGUAACCUCAGGACAAGUGCAACAGAGAUAUACCGCCUGUCUUCCUGACAGGUAAGGGUGGAAAGGCGGGGUAAGAGCCCACCGAACUCCCGGGUAACCGGGAGCUCCUGUAAACUCUAUCCGGUGCAACACCCGAAUUGCCGGCACCCUUCGGGGUGCAAUGCUUGCUCGGCAUGGCAGAGGUCGGUGGCAUGAACCUUCCGGCAACGGAGGGGCUUAGAUAGAUGGUCGUUUAAGACAGAACCCGGCUUACAGACUUUCCUGCUUU